AAACAUUGUUAGCCAUUCCUGAUCUGAAUGUUGGUGUAUGAAUUAAAUUAUGGUACACAUUAAAAGCCAUGAGACAUUUGUUUUGUAAUAAAUAAGGCAGUGGAAUUACUCAUUAGUAGCCUUUUUAAGAUAAGCUAUUAGGUCUGACCUUUCUCCCCCCUUUUUAAUUCCAGAGAUC